GCCUAACUCCUAAGAGAAUUGCUGUAUUACAAGGAGACAGGGAUGCUGUGAAUUCGUUACAGGAAAGAGGAUGUCAGCCCUCAUGCCUUUGUCUCCCAAGGGCCUGGACUUUCCUCCACUUGAUUUGUAGAGAGUGCUUUUGGAAGAUGGGUGUGUUUUAUUUAGAUGGUACAGGUGUCAGAAGGUAAGAGGUGUGAUGGAAGUUGAUAGGUGACUGUUACUUGAAGGAAGGGGGAAUGAAGUCUAAAAGGUUAGCUACACAUUUUAUCUCCCUGAUCUCCCUAUGAUGCAAAGAACCCAAGAAUGUGUCUUUGUAACAAAAACUGGUUGUUACAUGGACAGUGAUCAGAGAAAUCACUUGCCGAUUAGAAUUUCUCCCUAUGUAGCAUUCCAUGAAAUAAACAGACAGCUGCUCCUGGUUCCCCCAGAAAAAUACAGAUUUGUAAAAAAAAGAAAAAAAAAAAUACUACUUGUUACCAAAAUGUUUUCUGAGUAUAUUCUUUUAUCUUACAGAAAACAUCUACGUAUUUUAAAUUAUUGUUGUGGAAAAUGUAUACACACACCUACACAUUCAUUGUAAGAAAUUCCAAAGUAAAAGUUUACCUGAAAUUCUGUCAUGCUGAUAUUUAUUUUUUAAGUUAAAUUUUUUUUUUUUUUUACUGAAAGUAAUAAUUGGCUGGGCAUGGUGACUUAUGCCUGUAAUCACUUUGGAAGACGAAGGCAGGAGACCGGUCUGUAAAAUCAAUUUUCCCAACUAAAAAUGUAAUG
rnacentral:lncRNA from 1 species